rnacentral:rRNA from 1 species
CGCGUAGGCGGCCUGGUCAGUCAGACGUGAAAUCCCUCGGCUCAACCGAGGAACUGCGUUUGAUACUGCCAGGCUUGAGUCCCGUAGAGGGUAGCGGAAUUCCUAGUGUAGCGGUGAAAUGCGUAGAUAUUGGGAGGAACACCAGUGGCGAAGGCGGCUACCUGGACGGGUACUGACGCUGAGGCGCGAAAGCAUGGGGAGCAAACAGGAUUAGAUACCCUGGUAGUCC